rnacentral:lncRNA from 1 species
UCCUUUUCUGGUUCUUGGUGUCUCCAUUUCCCGCUCCUCUCCGACAUUUUUCCAUGCACGUUAUCAUCAUACGCUGCUGCAACCGUCCUUUUCUUGUGCUUCCAUCUUAUCUCCAUCGGAUUCCACCACUAUAGCGAGGAUAAGACUCGGGUCCCUUCCGUAAUCCUGCAUUAGCUCCAGCUAUGCGCCGCCUCAUGUGACCCUUUUCUUUCAUGGACCCCCACUCCUUCACCUAACCAUCCACGGUUCUUCGCAAUUCGGCUCCAAUGGUACGAUGUCCACGCUUCAAAUCUUCCAUCAUUAGUCAAAGAAAAGUAAUGCCCGGAAAAAAUCUGGAUCCAUCUUUGUAUCGACCGCUGUCGUGGAUCUCUCUCAGCCUCGACUGCCAUCUAUAUUUUUAAAUUAUCCAGACUUCAAAAUGGAUACGAUUCAAACUCCUUUCCUAUAAAUAAAGAAGUUCCGAAAUCUUCAAAAUAAACUCCCGACUUCUUAUUCUCUCUUCUUAUUAUUCUCUAUCUCUUAACUCGAACAUCGAAAAAUCUAUUCCAGAGAACAUCUUAAUGAAAAAUUUUUGCAGGUAUUCGGAUGAAACUCCAACAAUAAAUCUUACUUUGGCCAUCUUCACCUCGACAAUCGAUCUCAGAUAGGGAGAUCCAGAAGCAACAACCGCCAAUCAAGUUCGCGAUGAUUACUCAAAAUGUAAAAUGAUAUCUGCGUGAGAAACUGCGCAAAAAAUGGAUCAACGAAGGAGCAGAUGGUAAGUCUCCCAAUAACAUUUGAUUGCUAGAGGAGAAGCAUGACGAAUAGUCCAGACUGAACCAGAGAAAUGCUUAGUUUGAUGAUCUCCUGAUCUGAUGGCGUUAGGAGGCCAACAGACACUGCAAGUGCCCUAGGUAGAAUCUAAAUCGAGAUGUUUAUAAAUCAUGCUUCCAACUCCAUGCACAGACUGCAAAUGAUGCUGUUCACCAGUACGCUCACUAAUGUGAUCCAAUCAAAGGGGCAAGAAUCAGGAAUCUCGAUAUUUGGAUCAUGCUGGUUACCACAUUGCAGGGCUCUCAGCACUGGUGAGGUUAAGCGUGUUUUAAUCUAUGUUCAACGAAGACAUUCGUUUGAUCGGUGUUUAAUGUAUUGACAACUAUAUUAACUUUACUUAAAAUAAUUUCAAGUUUUGUUCAUUUAAAAAAUUGUACCCAGUGAUUAUUUAACUUUGUUUAUUUCUUAAAUUUCUUUACCCAGAUAUUUUCUACUCGGGAUAGUUCUUCAACCACAAAUCUGAAAUAGUUUCAGACUUUCUUACACAAGUAUCUGACCAUAUUAAUUUGAAAAUAUUCUACACAAUUAAAAUUAACUUGAAUUUGAUAUAAUGUUCUUUAUUCAAUUUUUCUAAUCGUUCACUAUAUUAAUUUUCUUUAUUUGGAAUUCUUUUCACAGUUUUUUAUUUAGAUGUUUUCUAUCCACCACAAUUAUCUGACUGUGGUGAAACCCUACAUAUAACCAAUUCAUAUAGUUUUAGCUAGCAUUACAUUAUUUUUACUUUUAUUUUUGUAUUUUAGGAUGUGGCAUGAUUUUUUUUUGUACUUUAGGAAGAGGGAGGGUAAAGUCGGGAUUGAAAAAUGACUGAUGAAAUCUUGGAGUACUAUUUGGACACUACCCCAGCAACAUCCUGAAAAUGGACUGGUUAGCUUAUUUGUAAAUCAUAGCUACGGUUGGACACAUCAGAGAGACAAAAGAAUAACAUAAUAUGGCUAACAAAGUGCAUGCUGCAAUGACGCCCCAUCCUGAUGAAUCCUUUCAUACCAAUAAAAUCAAGCUUCCAAGAAUUAUAGACAACAAAAGUAGAAGGAUGGUUAUACAUAAACAGCCAAUAUUGGUACAUCAUACAAACGAUCAGUAAAUUUUCAAACCUUAAAGUCUGUUUGACUAAGCUUCAAGCGACAUAACAUGCUUUCUGGCUUCUAGCACAGAAGGUUCACUAAAGGGAUAUUCUAAAUAACAAUCAAAACUUGUGUGUGUGGCUCGUGGCUGGUAAAUUCCUAACUCUUCUUGAUAAUGACAAUGGCAACAACUAGUUACAACAAAUGAACCAAAGCAUGAAAAAAAAAAAAAAAAUGUAGCACAUCCCAACAGGAGAACAUCUCAACACCUCUGCGCACAUCUGCACAUAACACCGCCUCAGAAAAGGGUAACCUGCAAACCUAGGUACGCAUUCAAAAGAAUGCUACUAAUCACACAUGGAACGAUCAUGCUGCUGAUUGUCUUGGUAUCUUUCCAUCUUCCUCUUGAUUUGUUUCCCCAGUUCCCUGCCAAUGUGCAAAAACAAAUGGCUCAUCAGCAUAAUGAGUUUCCAUAUGAUUCAUGAAACCUCAUUUAAAAGAAUAAUAAUUUUAUCUUUUACUGGAUGUAACAAACAUACCAACAUCUUAAAUUUGGAGGUCUGCCGUACCUACCCAUGGUGCCCCAUACCGAUUGUGCUGUGCUAUAUUGGUAAAGGUAGAAGUGAUAGGGUACCAAGGUUCGGUUUGGUACACAAGCCAAACCGGUCCAAACCGAGCCAAACUGCUUUGCACCGCCUGGUACAACUGUACUGCCCGGUUUUCGAGCGGUACAUGGCAGGGAGUGAGAAAAAAGUAUUGCAAGCCUGUUUCGAUAUUAGAUACAUACCAUACCAAAGUGGUAACAUACUGAUAUGGCGAUUUUGCGGACCUUCGAUUAAAAGACUUGUAUUAUUAUGGGCGCACAGCUACUCAACUUUAAAUUUAAUAAUUAGAUGGGUGAACUACCUGAAUAUGUUGCAAGAGUUCCUCAAGUUCAACAGUUAUCUCUGAAAAAGAGGGUCGUUUAGCCGGAGCCGCCUCCCAACAUCUUUUCAUCAACUCAACCAACUUAGAGUGUGUUUUUUCUGGAAUCUCGGGACGCAAGCCCUGGUAUUACACAGAAAUAUGAUAAUAUAUAAAUAUGGUUAAAAGCUAUAUGAAGAAAUAUUUUUAGCAUCUAGCCAACCCAUAAUGUUUCAAUGAUGUCAUUUCCUGAUUUUUUUGGGAUUGAAAUCAUGGCUGUAAUAAUGUCCACUAAUAACUAUUUUAAUGGGAAACAGAUAAAACAAGGAACCUAUUUGAUCAUGAUACUCUUCAAAUACUUUUCUUUCUUUAUUUUGAUGGAGAAUUAACUCUUAAUUUUUUUUUCAGAUUAGCAGUGAACAUGUCAAAUAACAGAUAUCAUUCUCCACCAUGCAAAAACUGUUUAUAUGUCCAAAUGACAGUUGGGCUUUUGAAACAUAUAUCACUACAAUUCUAAAUCGUGUCACUGCUAAUAGUAUUUAUUUCAUGCAGGGGCAUUUUUAGAAUGGACAUUGGCACCUUGUAAAUUGAACUAACACAAACAAUUGUGCAGGACACACAAAGCUAGUCAGUCGAUGUUUGAAAAGCACUCAAAACAGUAAUUUUACAAUCUUCCUGAAAACAAUACAUUGGACAAUAACACCAACAAAUGUUAAUAACUUGUCAUACAGUAAGCUUUUCUUUAACAUAUUUUUCAACCUGAAACAUUUUCAGAUGACAACAGGGAAUUUGGAAAUACAUGAACAUUGUCCUUGCAAUUCAGCCAAUGAACUUGACCUAAAGCACCAAAAGCUUGUCACAAGUAGGUUUGAAACAAUGAUACCAUAGAAUUUUAUAAACAAGAUGGUUAGAUCUUUAUGAUCAACACAGAAUAUUGUUCUAUGUGAUGAAAAACACAAACCUGUCUUACUCCUAACGCAGCUUGCAAGGGUGUCAAAGUUUCAUAUGGGACCUGCACAAUGACAUCAUAGGCUUGUUACUCCACUUACCAUAUGAUCACAUGUUCCAAACUUUGCUUGAUCAAUGACCAGAUUGUUGAAAAAGUGCAAUUUCAGCAUGUACCUUUGAUGUUACUAGCUCCCAGAGCACAAUGGCAAAACUGAAAACAUCUGCCUUAUGAUCAUAUGAUUGAUGAUUUAUAACCUGGAAAGAGCAAAGUUGGAAUAUAAAAAAUCAGAAGAUAUGUUUGUGAUUAUUUAGAAUACAAGUAUGAUAAUGGUACUCUACAUGGUGUAAGACUGAGGUAUGUAUAUAUUAUAAAAAUCAGUAAUUUUGAGCCAUUAACAAUUUAAAUUUUCAGGUCAACACAUGUUUUGGGCUUCAAUUUUCCUCUGAUAUGAGGCAUUACUCCACCCACAUAGACCUACAUCAUAAAAUGUAGUUAUUAUUAGUGAUACAGAUUAUAUAGAAAAUCCUGGAUGAUGAUUUUCUUCUUUAAAUAACUUCAUUGGGUAUCUUCUUCUUCCCACCAGGGCUCUGAAGUCUGCCGCGUGAACAAGAGGAAAGAAUUUUUCCACUCAGCAGGAAAGCCCAUUCUAUACUAUUCUUUUUUAUGGUUGUUUGCAUGAGAUUUCUAUUUCUAAUAAUGUCAAUGAC